rnacentral:lncRNA from 1 species
AAGAUUUGAGAUAUAGUUAUCUACAGAAUUGCAUGUUUGGGUAAUUUUGAACAUCUAGCAACCAAUGUGUGCUAUAGUAUAAUCUAUUACAUGGUAUUUUCGAAUAAUUAAACAAAGCACCUGACAGAGCUAAACAAUCUGCUUAAGCAAUUCUAUUAUAAACCAUUGCAUGAAUAGAUGGAGUAUCCCAUCCCAUACACACCAACCCCAGACUAAGAUGCCUUCAAGUGUGCAAGAGAAGGAAAAGAAAAAAAUAAAAAUAAAAUGUCCGCAACACCAAAUACAUCAACUACCAGCUUUACUCGAGACAAUAAGUAGAAGUAGGCACAGAGACCUCAAAAUACAUGUGGUGAAAUCCGUAAUACAAUCCACAUAUGUCAGGUAUCCAAAAGUCUUUUUGAAAUGUCUUUCUCUCCAUUUACCCAUUCCUUCUGGCUCCCUUAGCUUGCCCAUAUAUCUGCAUUACAAAUCAAAAAAUUAGGUAUGCUUGUGGUUCAAAGAUGAAAACAAAUACCUGAAGUCUUGGGUUGUAAAGCUUCGAAAGGAAAACAUCGUAUCAAGUUUAUAGUGCCCAAAAAAAAUCUUAAAAUGAUAAGGGAAUAGAAAUCGAAGGUGCCGAACAAUUAGAAUAAAAAAGUACAAUAGGAUGAUUAAUAACACAUAUAUGUAGGAAACAACAACUAAACCAAAACUUGGGCCACUCAAUCAAAUCAUUCCACCAAACAACAACAUAACACAUGACAGUGAGAAUAGUCUCCAUUGCUAGCUGCCCUAGCCGGUUUACAUCAAACUGUAUAUCCCUCUAGACAUGUUAAGAUCAACUGUGAAAUACAAACAAAAUAACCCUUAAACCCCUAGGUAGCUGCAGUCGGUCUUAUGCACAGACUCUGCAACUGGUCUCUAAUGUGUUAUAAUCAAACUCCGAUCCAAUGAGUCAUCAAAUCAUCAAAGUGCUAUACUCAAUGUUCCGUAGAUUACCACCAACACAAUACCAAAUCGUCGUUGCUUUGUUUAAGUCCAUAGUUACUCAUUUAAAGCAGCUUGGUUUAUGUAGAUUCCGAUUUCAUAAGAUAGUGAAAGAGAUAGAGACCAAGAUUUUCACUAUUAGAUCCGUUCCUAGAAAGGAAGGCCAUUGCUCCAGGAGUUCUUAGAUCGAAUUGCAUGUUGUGAGCAUUGCAUCCGAGUCAACUACAUCCUCCAACAAUUCACACCAAUUCAAUCUUAGAUGAGCACACUUUUUUAAGGGACAGUAUUCAUGCCUCAACGUCGAAGAUGUGAGCUGGUGUGAAGUCUCCCCUACAAAGAGCUCCACAUAAAAAGAUUGAUCUCUUUUACCAUAUUUUACUAACGAACAUUUACACAAAAACUAUCCUAUUAUAUGAAAUGUCAUGCUCAUGAAGAGCAAAGAAAGCAAAAGAAAAAGUCCCUGUUACCCAUAUAUUAAAAAUCUAAGAGCAAGAGCCCAAGAGUAAAUGUUGAAUAAUGUAUAAAUUUAUAUAUUAAAUAUACUAUACAAAAAAAAAAAAAAAAAAAAAAAAAAAAAACAUGUUUUGAUCAAUAAUCAAAUUAUUGUGUUACUGAUGUUUCUAACCUACUUAAAAGAAAGUCAUUGUUCAAUCAAAUCACUAAAUCAAUAAUUCAGAUAGGAUAACUAAACAGUCCAGUCUAUGCAUCAACUAUGUUAAUCCUUCACAUUACCAGCCCAAAGAGAAUCACCACUUCCCCAGAUUCCAAAACUACUUUUACUUGUGCAAUAUCGCAAAUCCAUUGUCAUGGUUCAUAACCUUAAGUGUAUAGUUACAAAAAAACUAAAUACUUGAAAUUCAUAGGUAAAUUGGUAAGCUUAAGUGUAUGAUCAAAGAGAAGAGGUCCUUUCUCAGGUGAUAAGGCGUACUUCAAUCUUUUAUUAAAGGUUAUGUGUAUCGAUUGCGUUUUUUUGGAGUCAAAGUUUCGUUUACACACACAUCUCAGAAAUACUGAACGCUCCUCUUUGACCCUAUUAUUUUCCAAGUGAUGGUUUCCUCAAAUGCUAGUCCUACUGUUCCAAAUGGUCAUAGAGAUAUUCCCAUUAUUCUUUCAACUUUUGUAAGUCAUGGUUCAAUAUAACCUUCUCUUUCAUGCAGAUGAUAAUACAUUACACUAUUUGUAUAAAAUUACCUGUGAAUAGCAGCAUUUCUGACAGGGUUUCAAAGUAUAAAGUCUUCACCAACAGAGCUCAGAAUAACAACAAUUUAUCCGUGACGUCAUCACCAAAACCCAAAGUUUUAAAGAGCACAGGGGCAUAGAACAUGAACACGUUGAUUCCAGGGGGAUAGAACAUGAUCACGUUGAUUCCAGGGGCAUAGAACAUGAUCACGUUGAUUCCUCUGAAUUGUUGGAACAUUGGAAUGCAAAUUGCCAUGAUGAGUUGAGGCCAAUAUUUAGGUUAUAGAAUGUUUCUAAAUGUAGGUUAUUCCAAUAUAAUCUUAGCCAUUGAACGCUACUCAACUUCUCCCAACAAAAUUAAGCAAUAAGCUAGAAAAUCCAACAAUUAGAAACAAAUUUUGGAAAUCUAAAUUAUAACAGAUAUUGGAUAACAACAGUAGUAACUAUGUAAUCAAACACAGUUAAUAAGCAGUGAUUUUAAUUUCACAACACCAUCUAUAAAACUGAUUGUAUUUCAUUGGGUUUUUUUUUUUUUUUUAGUAGUCUGAUCAUGAAAUCUACCCCAUUUUAGCUGUAAAGACUUGCAUCUACUGCUACUGCUAUUAUUUUUCAUUACUACUAUUGGCAGUGAGAAUCCAUUCAUUUGCAAGCUAUUUUCUAUUUUCGAGGUAAUCAAGAGCAAAAUGUACACCUAUUGUAGCAAUAUUAUAAACUAAAACUUCAGAAAAGAGAGAACACUCAUCAACUAUAUAUUCAAGCCUUUCAUAACAGAUCAAACUGUUAUUUAAUUAGUCAUAACAAAUAGAUCAGACUGUUAUUUACUUUAUGCAGAGGAAGAACUUAUAAUUUUGUCUACAAAUUGAAGACCUAUAAUUGAUUGAUGCAAACUCACCUGUUGAAGCAGAAGCACAACAGAUACUGGAGAAUGAAAGAGAGAUGAUUGUGAAAAUGAAAGAGACAAUUGCUGGGUAGAAAAAAAUAAGAUUUGGUUAGAUAGGAAGAUAUAAAACAAUAAGUUAAGACUGGUAUCUAUGGUGUAACAAUACAUUUAAAUGACAAAAAAUGUUAAGAUUGCAAACAGAAUUACCAGGAUAUUUAAAGGAAUAGACUGUAGGACAAAAUGACAGAAAAUGAUGAUGAUAAGAGAUGAUGAUAAGAGAUGAUGAUGUGGGGUUUUGGAUGAUGAAGAUGAUAUCUGCAGGAACAAAAUUUUAUUAUCUAAAGAAAUUUGUCAAACACCCACUAUAAACAUCAAUUAAUCAUGACAAUAACACUGACAACAAUUAUAUUGGAAGUGUUUUAAUUCUUCUUCUAAUGGAAAGUCAAAUAAAUGCUACUGAAGAAGAAGAAGAACCUGCUGCUGCUGUUGCCGCUAGUUAGGUUGGAGAUAUUGGAGAUUCGAUAUCAAAAACCCACAAUCAAACAACAAUUUGCAGAGCUUAGGGUCAUUUGAUGGUAAUUGGGUUCCACUUAAGAGCAUCUACGUAUGAGUAGUGCGUCCUGGCGUUCAAUAUUGCUUCACUCUACCUUCUGACCUUAGUUUUGUAUUUGCCUCUUGAAGUUAAUUCUGUCGGAAUUGUCGUUAUGCAGGUUAUUUGUGACCAUUUGGGUCUAGGUGUUAAAACAGGGUUGCCAUACCUUUGGCACAGCAAGGCAAGCAACCCAUUUGUGAACUUGAAGAAAGAGUACAAGGGCAUCUACUGGCAAGAGGAUAUCAUCCCAUUCUUCCAAGCUGUUGUACUUCUGAAAGAAUGCACAACCGUACAGAAAUGCUACAUUGAGCUAUCCAAGCAGGUGAAAGAGAAGUUAGGUCCCAUUGACAAUUACUUUGAGACACUUGCAGAUGCCAUGGUUACAUGGAUUGAAGCCUGGGAUGAGAUCAAUGCACAACCAAAAGCUGGAAGUCAGCCCACCACUCCACCACUCAAGAAAGAGAAAUCUGAAGAACCUAAGCCAAAGUAGAGAGAUAUUUCCGAGUACUUUGUUUUAGUUUGGUCUCUACCAUUUCUUUCUGUUAUUUUCAGUUAUUUUAUGUUGCUAUAUUUGGAUUCACCACCAGACUUCUAGCACUCUACUAUUUAAUUAUGCAAGUUUUAGUAAGUUCAUAUGAUCAUAUCUGAUAAAUUUGUGAGCAUACUAUAGGCAUGUCUGUAAUGAUUUUAACUUCAUUCCCCAUGCUUCAGGAUUUUAAUGAUUGUGAAUUCCAUUGAAUCAGAGGAUUCUGAUUAAAAUUUCUUGGAGUUUUAUUGAUUCUAAUGUCAUGGAUUCAUGACCUGGACCUUAUGCUGGGUUUUUAGGCUGGCUUUUUAUAGCUUGUCAGUGAGCUCAUAGGAAUAUAUUGUUGCGACUUGCGACAGCUUGACAUGGCCUUGUCUAGGGACCCCUUUGUUUCUUCUUUGGUCAGAGUCGGACAUUUUUGAAUACGGAUUACAACUUGCAAGGUACUGUGGUGACCCAAGAUAGAGUUAUCGAGCAAGUUACUGUACUGUGGUGACCCAAAAUAGAGUUAUCGAGGGUACAACGUGUACGACCCUAAAGUUUUUGGUUUAAAAUUCUUCUAUCUUCGAGGUUUUUAACAGGAGACAUCAAAUUUAUUGUGCAACUACAGCAGCAAUCAAAAUUAAUCUAAAACCCUAAAGUUUGAGGAAAGAAUUCAUGAGUGGAACAAAGCAUCUAAUCAAAUUAACAUAAGAACAGUUUGAUUGAAGGAGAAAGAAAGAGAGGACAUACCUUGAAGAUGGAAAUCGAGAGGAAGAUGAUGAAGUAGAU